rnacentral:rRNA from 1 species
UACAGAGGGUGCAAGCGUUGCUCGGAAUUAUUGGGCGUAAAGGGUAGGUAGGUGGUCUCAUUUGUCUGGGGUGAAAUCCUUGAGCUUAACUCAAGAAGUGCCCCAGAAACGGUGAGACUAGAGUACUGGAGAGGGUCGUAGAAUUCCCGGUGUAGCGGUGAAAUGCGUAGAGAUCGGGAGGAACACCAGAGGCGAAGGCGGCGACCUGGACAGUGACUGACACUCAACUGCGAAAGCGUGGGGAGCAAACAGG